rnacentral:tRNA from 1 species
CACCUGGAAGCUUGCACAAGCACUAGCCCUUUAAGCUAGAGAAGGACAAUCACAUCUCCCCAAGUGA